GACGUAGGGCGCGAGCGUUGUCCGGAUUUAUUGGGCGUAAAGAGCUCGUAGGCGGCUUGUCGCGUCGACUGUGAAAUCCCGCGGCUCAACUGCGGGUCUGCAGUCGAUACGGGCAGGCUAGAGUUCGGUAGGGGAGACUGGAAUUCCUGGUGUAGCGGUGAAAUGCGCAGAUAUCAGGAGGAACACCGGUGGCGAAGGCGGGUCUCUGGGCAGUAACUGACGCUGAGGAGCGAAAGCGUGGGGAGCGAACAGG
rnacentral:rRNA from 1 species